rnacentral:rRNA from 1 species
UCCAUGCAGUGGCAACACUGCGGACGACCUAGUGGCGAACGGGUGAGUAACACGUGAGGAACUUGCCCCGGAGACCGGGAUAACCCUCCGAAAGGAGAGCUAAUACCGGAUGUCCUCACCGAGUCGCAUGGCUUGGUGAGGAAAUGGAUUCCGCUCCGGGAGAGCCUCGCGGCCUAUCAGCUAGUUGGUGGGGUAACGGCCCACCAAGGCGUCGACGGGUAGCUGGUCUGAGAGGACGAUCAGCCACACUGGGACUGAGACACGGCCCAGACUCCUACGGGAGGCAGCAGUGGGGAAUCUUGCGCAAUGGGCGAAAGCCUGACGCAGCAACGCCGCGUGCGGGAUGAAGGCCCUCGGG